rnacentral:rRNA from 1 species
GAUGAACGCUGGCGGCGUGCUUAACGCAUGCAAGUCGAACGAUGAAGCCCAGCUUGCUGGGUGGAUUAGUGGCGAACGGGUGAGUAACACGUGAGUAACCUGCCCUUGACUCUGGGAUAAGCCUGGGAAACUGGGUCUAAUACUGGAUAUGACUUCUCAUCGCAUGGUGGGGGGUGGAAAGAUUUAUUGGUCUUGGAUGGACUCGCGGCCUAUCAGCUUGUUGGUGAGGUAAUGGCUCACCAAGGCGACGACGGGUAGCCGGCCUGAGAGGGUGACCGGCCACACUGGGACUGAGACACGGCCCAGACUCCUACGGGAGGCAGCAGUGGGGAAUAUUGCACAAUGGGCGCAAGCCUGAUGCAGCGACGCCGCGUGAGGGAUGACGGCCUUCGGGUUGUAAACCUCUUUCAGUAGGGAAGAAGCGAGAGUGACGGUACCUGCAGAAGAAGCGCCGGCUAACUACGUG